rnacentral:rRNA from 1 species
CACAAGCGGUGGAGUAUGUGGUUAAUUCGAUGCAACGCGAAGAACCUUACCUGGUCUUGACAUCCCGGAGACCCUUAGGAAACUAGGGGGUGCUUCCAUCUGGAAGAAUCUGGAGACAGGUGCUGCAUGGCUGUCGUCAGCUCGUGUCGUGAGAUGUUGGGUUAAGUCCCGCAACGAGCGCAACCCUUGCCUUUAGUUGCCAGCAGUUCGGCUGGGCACUCUAAAGGGACUGCCGGUGUUAAACCGGAGGAAGGUGGGGAUGACGUCAAGUCCUCAUGGCCUUUAUGACCAGGGCUACACACGUACUACAAUGGCCGAUACAAAGGGCAGCGACACUGCGAGGUGAAGCCAAUCCCGUAAAAUCGGUCUCAGUCCGGAUUGGAGUCUGCAACUCGACUCCAUGAAGUUGGAAUCGCUAGUAAUCGUGGAUCAGCAUGCCACGGUGAAUACGUUCCCGGGCCUU